UGGCGAACGGGUGAGUAACGCGUAGACAACCUACCUUCUAGAUGGGGACAACACUGCGAAAGUGGUGCUAAUACCGAAUGUUGUAUUUUAGAUGCAUAUUUAAGAUACUAAAGGUGGCCUCUAUUUAUAAGCUACCACUAGAAGAUGGGUCUGCGUCUGAUUAGCUAGUUGGUGAGGUAAUGGCUCACCAAGGCGACGAUCAGUAGCCGGUCUGAGAGGAUGAACGGCCACACUGGGACUGANACACGGCCCAGACUCCUACGGGAGGCAGCAGUGGGGAAUCUUCCGCAAUGGACGAAAGUCUGACGGAGCAACGCCGCGUGAGUGAAGAAGGUUUUCGGAUCGUAAAACUCUGUUUUCAGGGACGAAUGUGCGAUAUGUGAAUAAUGUGUUGUAAUGACGGUACCUGACAAGAAAGCCACGGCUAACUACGUGCCAGCAGCCGCGGUAAUACGUAGGUGGCAAGCGUUGUCCGGAAUUAUUGGGCGUAAAGCGCGCGCAGGUGGGAUAAUAAGUCUGAUGUUAAAGUUCGGGGCUCAACCCCGUGAAGCAUUUGGAUACUGUUAUUCUUGAGUGCAGGAGAGGAAAGUGGAAUUCCUAGUGUAGCGGUGAAAUGCGUAGAUAUUAGGAGGAACACCAGUGGCGAAGGCGACUUUCUGGACUGUGUCUGACACUGAGGCGCGAAAGCCAGGGUAGUGAACGGGAUUAGAUACCCCGGUAAUCCUGGCCGUAAACGAUGGGUACU
rnacentral:rRNA from 1 species